rnacentral:miRNA from 1 species
AGGAGAGAGAGACAGAGAGCCUGCUUGCUUUAAAGGAGCAAAGCGGGAGAGGAGCCACUUACAUGAGUGUAAGCGGCUCCUGUCCGGUUGGCUUCUUUAAAGCAAGCAGGCUCUCUGUCCCUCUCUUCU